rnacentral:lncRNA from 1 species
AUCCCAUCGUAGCUCUCCGACAAUGUGAAAACCACAGCCUAUUUUUUUGCUACCGGUCCUUCUCGGGCGCGCGUCUGGGUUAGUUGAUGGACAUUCUCGUUUUCCCCCGUAUAGGUCACAAGUCAAAAAAAUCUUUUUUUUAGGACUGCUUCUUUUUACUAUUUUCACAAAAAGACCUCUUGCAACGAACCUCACCCAAACC